ACUAUAAAAAUAGGGAAAAUAUGUACCCUGCUUACCAUCCUGAGUUUGGGAAGGAGUUGAGUAUAUAAACAUAUUUUAAGCCAAGAUGUUAAAAGACCCUUAAGUAGAAACAAUGCUCCUCAUUACUGGUUUUUCUAAGCACCAGUUUCUUAUUCUGCCCUUAACACACAAACACUCAGGUGGAGUGAAUUCAUCUAUUUGAUAAGUUUGAAACAAGGAAGAGGGCAGGCAUAGCUAGCUCCUCUCUUCCUCUUCCCUUUAAGAGCGGCUGAGAGAAAGUUCGCGUCUGGUCUCUCUCGCGGGUUACAGGAGUAAGCUUCCAUAUGGGAAGCCAAGCGUCUGUCUGGACUGCUGGGACUUAAGAUUUUUGUAGUCACGUGUAACAUGAACUACGCUGGAAAAAAGCAAGGAUUAAAAUUAUUAACUCUUCAAUGCAAAGACUGUGUUUCUUCAUGAUAUAAGUUUCUAUAGGCUGCCUGGUAUAGGACCAGAAAUGUCACUGAUGCAAAUUGCAAUGGCAUUGAAGAGGAGGAUAUAAAUUAUAUUUUAUAUUUAUAGGUAAAUGUGUCUGUGUGCAGACCUUUCAAUCACUCCAUUGGUAUAUUUUCCAUAUUCCCUUGCAUGUUAAAAAGUGACAUAUUUAUGAGCCACAUAUUUGGAGUUCUCAGAUUCCAGUAAACACUCUUGGCCCUAACAAGGAAAGGUCUGUUCUGUGUUUCACUUUAGUGGAGAACAUGUUUAACCACUAUGCUAGCUGGUGAAUUGCUCUAAGUGUCCAUGAGAUUAGCCAGGAAUUUCUUAUGCUUUAUUUUUUUUCUGUUAAGUAGAGAAUUCAGUGUUAAAUAGUCAGGGCUAUCUUGACUCACUCUGCUCAUUGUCUAUCAAAGGAAUAUUAAACCUACAAAAGAGUGGAAAAUAAACUUAAUGAAAAAAUAUGUUGAUUAAAUUAAUUUAAAAAGUGGAAAAUAAACUUAAAAUACAUUUAAAACUUUGUUUUCACAUUAAACAAAGAAAAAUUUGUUUUCAAUAUGUGUAGGAGUCACCCAGAGUUUUCAACAAUUUUCUCAUUAAGACAUGGGGUAAAUCUGUCCUUGCUUGUUAAUUACCGACAUUCUACUUUCCAUGUAGUAUUGUGUUUGAUCCAUACACAGAACAAAAACAUUGAUCUAUGUGAACUCUUUAACUCUUUCAAAUCUUACAACUGGGAUUUCUUUGACUUAGACUACCAGAUUUGAAAAUAUCUUGCUGCUAUGCAUUUGUAGACAUGACUUCCCUCAUUUAAGUCUAGCAGAAAAAUAAGGCUUGCAAAACAUUAAAUCGUAUUUACCUGAGAGUGUAGGUGUUAGGAGGUUUUAAGGAUUUAAAAUCCUUCUUAUUAAUAUCUGAUUAGUUUUACUCUUGGUAUUUUUUUGGAUUAGGUUAAUGUUCUCUGUGCAUACAUCAAUUUAAUUUAAUACAAAAGGCUUUUAUUUUAUCUCAUUCAAAGCUACGUCCAUGAGUUCAUCCUAUCGCGUAAACUCUUUCUCUCAUAUCACACUCUUAGUCCCUAAGGAUGGGCCUCGUGUAUGCUUUUAUCUUUUAGUUUAUCCUUCUUUUCAAAUGCAAAAUGAUUUAUUCUUAUAGACCACUGGGAUUUAAUUAAGUCUGCUUAUGAUAGUCAAAAGUAAAUUCUCUUUUCUAAAUACAGAAUUCCGGAAAGAAAGAAAGGGGCAUUUACUUGCAGACUGCAAAAUUUUAAAUUAUCUGUCUAGUUAGGCAUCCUUUCAGACUGCAUCAGAAUCUUGUCAAUGCUGGAAAAUGUUACUCUGGUAUGCUGGCAGGAUUCUCUUGGAAUACUGCACAAGAAACUACACAGUACACAAUGGCUAUGAUCUGUCCAAAAAGUGACUUUUGACUUCUACAGAUAAAUCUCUUAAAGCAAUCUUUAGAUAUUAAGUCCUGGAUUUUAAAGUGAAAGAAAACCCUCAAACUGUUCCCUUUUCCAGCAGAACAGGAGCUUGAGCCUAACUGGCUGCCUGCCCCUAUGCCCCCAGGCAGCCCCUUGAACCUUAAGCCUUAAAACCUUUAAGCCCCUUAAAAUAAUAAGGCAGUGGCAAAACAAAACAAAUCCAUCCUUAGCUCACCAUACUAAACAGUCAGAAGGUGAGAUUUGGCCAUAAUUUUCCUACUCCUGUGUUAGAACUGAACAUUGUCAUGAUGUUCUUUGUCAUGGAGACAUGAUCUGGACACUGGCAUUUAUUGUCAUAUUAAACUUUGAUCUAGCACUUCUGAUACAAAGGAACCGUCUGAGGGUUUUACUUUAAAAUCCAGGACUAAAUAUCUAAACAUCGUUUUAAGAGAUUUACCUUCAGAAGUCAAAAGUCAUCUUUUGGACAGGUUAUAGCCAUUGUAUAAUUUGGAGUUUCUUGUGCGGUAUUCCAUGAGAAUUCUGCCAGCAUACCAGAGUAAAAUAGUCCAACAUUGACAAGAUUCUGAUGUAGUCUUCACUCUUCCCAGUGGCCAACCUCAGAAGACACCUGGUAGGCAUCCUCUAAAUGCAAUUUCAAGGCUGGUUAUGGAGGUUGAUUAUAGUGCACUUGAAUCUACUUCAUGUGCUGACAGCUCUGAUUCACUCUCCACUUGCUUUUAGAAAACACUCAUGAAAUCCUAACUAUAUUGUACUGCCACCUCUUUAAACACAGCAUAUUCACCUUUGGACAACCUCUGCUGCUUUGUCUCAACAAAACAGCAGGUGGAAUCAGGCUCGUGGUGAGCAGUCACCAAGGGAUGAAAACUGGUAUGUCUAGAGCCAGAUUUUAAACAGUUACUCUUCAAAACAUCUUGUUUUAUUCUACUUUAUAGGCAUCUAGAUACAUCAUGGCAGUAGUAGCAGUAAAAUGGGUGAUAUCACAGAUAGUUAUCUGAAACAUUGAUUUCUAAUCCAAAAUGAAACUUUAUAGUAUAUCUGUCAUAAUUGUAAGUAUUCUUCUCUACCAGAGGACUAUAAUUGCAAAGUUGGGUUUGAUAUGACAUCUGAUGGAAGGACGAUAGUAUACUACCACCCUUCUAUGAACAUUCCAUAUAAACAUACAAAAUGUACCCCUUGACUAGAUCCUGUGCAAAAUAAUGAAGAAAUAUGUGAUCUAGGGCUGAAAACCAGCAUAACAAUUCUGGUUCAGGAGAAUCAGGAAACUCUGAGGAAGGUUUACGUGCCCUUUUAGCUGUGAAAGUAAAUCUUACCCUAACAAGUUUACUGGAGAAGUAUCACAUAGUAAAGUGUAUUUUUCUGAAAAGGGCCCCAACAUUGAUUGAAUGGGUUCAGAUACGGGAAUGUCUUGAAUUUGAUUUGAAACCCCCCACCACAGAAUGUAAAUUAGUUCAACCAUUGUGGAAGACAGCGUGGCGAUUCCUCAAAAAACUGGAAUGAGAAAUACCAUUUGGUCCAGUAAACCCAUUACUAGGUCUAUACCCAAAGGAAUAUAAAUCUUUCCAUUAUAAAGAUAUGUGCAUGCGUAUGUUCAUUCCAGCACUGUUCAGGAUAGCAAAGACAUGGUAUCAACCCAAAUGCCCAGUAAUGAUAGAUUGAAUAAAGAAAAUGUGGUACAUAUACACCAUAAAAUACUAUGCAGCCAUAGAAAAGAAUGAGAUCAU